CCCAAAGUGCUGAGAUUAUAGGUGUGAGCCACUGCACCUGGCCUCUCUAUUCUCUACUUCCUCUUUCUAGAAUUUCUAUUAGGCGGAUGUUGAAUCUCCUGAAUUAAUCUCUAAUUUUCUUCCCUUCCCUUUCCCUUCUCCUUCCCUUCCCUUCCCCUUCUCUCCCCUCCCCUCCCCUCCCUUCCCCUCUCCUCCCCUCCCUUCCCUUCUCUCCUUCCUUUCUC
rnacentral:lncRNA from 10 species